AUAAACGCUGGCGGCGCACAUAAGACAUGCAAGUCGAACGGAAGUCGUACUAAUUGAAGUGGAUUGAAGAUUAUGGAUUGAAACAGAUUUUAAUACAAUGGCUUUAGUGGCGGACUGGUGAGUAACACGUAAGCAACCUACCUAUUAGAGGGGAAUAACAAUGAGAAAUCAUUGCUAAUACCGCAUAAGCUUGUAGUACCACAUGGUACAGCAAGAAAAGGAGUAAUCCGCUAAUAGAUGGGCUUGCGGCUGAUUAGCUAGUUGGUUAGGUAACGGCUGACCAAGGCAACGAUCAGUAGCCGGGCUGAGAGGCUCUGCGGCCACAUUGGGACUGAGAUACGGCCCAGACUCCUACGGGAGGCAGCAGUCGGGAAUAUUGCGCAAUGGAGGAAAAACCUCUGACGCAGUGACGCCGCGUAUAGGAAGAAGGUUUUAGGAUUGUAAACUAUUUUAGACAGGGAAGAAAAAUGACAGUACCUGUAGAAUAAGCUCCGGCUAACUACGUGCCAGCAGCCGC
rnacentral:rRNA from 1 species